CGUGAUAAUUAACAAAUUAAUUCGUAUUAUACCGGUGAUUAAACGGUUAACCGUGUUUUAAUUAUUCGAUCGAUUUAAUCGCAUUUCAAUAACUAAACGGACCGAAGGUAGGAUUAUUUAAUUCAUUAUGGAAACACGUCGCGUUGCGAUAGUAAAACCGGAUAAAUUACAUUUCGGUGUCUCUCCGAAGCGCGGUUACAUCGUUCGAACAAAUCUUCGUCGAGAAACCGACUCCCCUCCCUUCUUCCCUAACGUGUACCACCGCUAGUUUCAUCUUAAACUACGUCACCAUUUUACCGAGUAACUGUUAUUACAACGGAUUCGUUAACAUCUACGGGGCACGUAACGGAAGAAGCUCCUCUUCUAGAUCUAGGGAUACCAUAUUACACGGAGCUUCCACGCCCCCACUGCGAUGCUUAAAUAUCUCGUUUCUCGCGUUCAGUGUUUUCACCUUAACGGCGAUCAAGAUAUCGAGUCACUAUUCAGUCGGAUCCGCGAGAAAAGAAGGCCGAAAAGAAGCAUCGAAAGUGAAGUGCGAGAUAAAACGAUAAAGAGAUUCGAACAGAACGUUGGAACAUCGAUUAUUUAUAUCAAUUCUCAAGCGAGAAGGUUUAUCCGAGAAUUUAACCGCAACAAGAAGAGAUACUGACUAUUGAACGAUCAAUUAGCUAUCAAGUUUGAUCCGGCACUCUCGAAACUCAUUCCGAACUCUCAUUUACAAGAACUUAGAUAAUUCGUCUCUUCAAAGAUAAUGCUAUAAGGCAUACUCGAAGCCACCGUUAUUUACACGAUACUUUUAAAGCAGCAAGCCAACAAACGAAGAUAUAGGAAGAUGGAAAAGUAGAAGGCGUCGUAAAUAAAGCAAAGAUAAGCGAGGAAAAGGAAAAAUCGGUGCAAGUGGAUUUCGAUUAACUACACGGAUCGACCUUGAGCUAAUCGAACGUACAACGAUACAUCGUUGCGAGUUGUCCGAGCCAGGGAUCCAGGGGAGAGAAAUGUGAUGCGUGGAAGAAAGCGAGAAGGAAAAUGAGGAGGGAAAGAGAAAAAAAAAAAAGAAAAAACUUUCUUGCAAGACACUCUGUAGAUGGCCGGGGUUAACAGCGGGACGGGAAAGGAGGGAUAAUUGAAUACAACUUGAUCGAGCCGCGCGUUUCCACCCCAUUAAAUCGGGCUUAAGUUCGUAAAAGAGGGAGAGCGAGAGAGAGAGAGAAGUUAGGAGGCGGAAUGGAGCGCGAGAGAAGUAAGGAAGGAAGGAAGGAAGGAAGGAAGGAAGGAAGAAAGGAGGAGAGAAAAGGGGGAAAGGCGAGAGAAUGUUUACUGCUACCCCAGCUGGGGGCCAAUCGGUAUAGAGACCCUUAUAUACCCUCCCACCCAACUUCGCUCUUAACCCCUUCUCCAGUCUUCCAGAAGGUUGUACAGUCGUACAAUGGAAACGCGUCGGCAAUAGCUAAGCCGAUGUCGUUAUACAGCCGGAUUAUUCCUCGGCCCGGUAAAGCUCCGUUAUGGCGAUAAUCAAAUUAACUCGCUUCGAAUUUUAAACGCACUGCCUAUCCCCUCUCCGCGCGCUCACUGCCAAUUUGGCGCAGCUGGCCUCACCGUCGGAUUACUCGGUCACCCACUUACCGAUACCGCCCUUUGUCUUUCAACCUCGAUCGCACCGCCACCAUAAAUUCGGCCCCUGUCAAAAUAUAUUUAAGGGGAGAAAAAGAUUUAUUCUCGGUGUUUUUCGAAAAAUUGAGGUUGAGAACCACUGUUCCGGAUUAUCUCUCGAGUUUCCAAGUUUGUUUUAAAUAUGAAACGGAACGAUUAUUUAAAUUCGCCUAACUAAAUUUAUUUUGGGUAAGAAGAAUUCUCGUUUUUCGAAAAAUUGAAUAUACGGCAGGUUGAGAACCAUUGUUCUAAAUCAUCUUCCAAGUUUCUUGGUUCGUUUAAGUACGAAAGGAAGAACGGUUGAAAAUGGUUGAAUUCAAUUUUCUUAACCUCGAUACUUUUUCGUUAUUUUUAAAUCGUAAAAUUCAUUUCGCGAUUUUUUUCGUCGCGGAAUAAUCGGUACUCGAAUCUUCGAGCCAAGUCCGAUGCGAAGUAUAAGAUAGGUUGAGAACCAUCGCUUUAGAUUAUCUUCCAACAGUUUCUCAGUUUGUUUAAGUACGAAACGAAGAGCUUGGUGGUUAGAAAUGCAAGUUCAUACCACCGUUGAUCUUGAUCGAGUCUAAGCCACGCCAGGUUCUUGGUUAUUUAACGGAAUUUCCGCCCGAUAAAAAUAUCAAAUUUCUCGGGAAUCGUUUUCGCAAUUUCGGUCAUCGAAAUUAAAUGGCAUAUUAGAUAUAAACGUAUCAUACUCGUUACUCUUACAGGCACAUAGAUGAACCAAAAUGAAACACGAAAUACCCAGUAAUUGGUUGUAACUGCUAAUUCAAUUAGACUUCAUCCAAACCGUGUAUUAGUCGGCACGACCGUGUUUAAUUUCAACUUCGCGCAGUUGACUUUCUAAAUUAAUAACAAGGAUUACUUAACGAACUGCAUACCGUACUUAUAUUGUUUGAAGUUACGUAAUAUAUCGUAGUUUAUGAUACUUGCGGCCAGCGGUUUACCACUUUUGCGGUUUUACCUUCGUACAAAUUGUAAUUCGAUUUACGAUGCGAUACCGUAUGUCAAUGAAAUAUUUGACCAAUUACUAAGACGAAAUACACGAAAUGCGCGUAACAAUUUAUUCGUCCGAUUACUGUUUUAUUCAAAUUCCUCGAGUUCGAAAGUGAAACUGCUUUUUACUAGAUGUAACGACUUCUUCGCGCGACAUUUCCUUUCGAUCGCCUGAUUUGAUUAUUUGUAUUAUUUUCCGUCGCGUAUUUGAAAUUUAUUUUUCAAACGUGAUUUUCGCACGAUUUUAAUCAAUAAUAAUUAUUCUAUUACAAAUUAUUCGCGUAUCUCUUUUAAAAGAUAAAUCCGAUUUCACUUUACUCCAUACCAGAUAUUUGCAAUUUAAUUCUCAAAUAUUCGUUCAUAAGUUGAUCGAUCCCCUUCAACCGAAUUAUAUUCGCGAACAAGUUGUUGGCCUCGUGUCGUUCGGCACGGUAUAAUGCGCACGAAAGUGCGAGCAACGGCUCGCGUUUGGAGCCAUUGUUCCCAACAACUAAAAUUCCCUAGCAUGCAUAGCAUUACAAAAUGAUCGGAUAGCCGGUGAAAAAGUAAUUGGGUCGCGAUGAGUGUCCGCAUCUCGAGAUAGUCGUCAUAUUCGAAAGAGAUUCCUCCCCGUAAUCCGGCUGGAAUCGAGUGUAAUGACUUUUCUUCGACGAGAAAAGGGUGGAUGGAGGACGCCGCGUGCAAAAUCGAUGCAUUCGCUAGACACGAUCCUUCCGCCAAAUGCAUCGCGAAAACGUAUUUGCCAAAGAGAUUCCAACCACUCGCGACGAUCACGCCCACUGCUCGAUCAGAUCGCAUCAAUUCUGACUCGUUAUCUUUUCUCCUAUUUAUUUUUUCUGUGAUUUCGAAUUAUAUUUUUCAAAGUAAAGAAAACUGUGCUCAUAUCUCUUGGAUCGAGUCGCUGCUCGAGGCAAGUGAUUUUAAGGUUAAGUGGAUACGCGUGCGUACGUACUUCGAAAGAAAUUGCACAAUGAUACGAAUUUCUAUGAUUCUCGGAAUGCUUUCGAGAGUGAUUGUGAACACGAAUGGUUUAAGGAUAAGGAAAUUAUAUUUUUCAAAAUAAAAAAAACUAUCGCCGUAUCUUUUGAAUCAAGUUGCUGCUCAAAGUGGAUAAUUUUAAGGUUAUGUGGAUACGCGUAUGUAUACAUUUUGCACGGUGAUAUGAACUCGUUCUAUUUCUAUUAGACACGAUUCGUGGAGUGUUUUCGAAAGUGAUUGUGGACACGAGUGGUUUAAGGAUACGAAAAAUAUUCCGUCAAAAAGGAUUCGAUCCUUUUUCGCGCCAUCUUUCCUUUCUAUUCGUUUCAAGAUCAGGAUACAGCUUAUUCGAACGGGGCACAGUUUAGAUAAUCCCUAAUUGAAAUACGCUCGAUACCAUAAGCUGCAUAUUAACGUAACAGCGUAACGAUAUUGUUAGAUUACGUAAUACAUUAUUGAUACGUAACCAUAAUAACGCAUAUUCCAGUUCUCUCUAAUGAGAGCCACGUCGAUUUGCGUAAAAAUAACAUUCAUCUAAUUCUCUUAACGUAUCCCGUGUAUUUUAUACGUUAAUUAUAUUUUAUACGUUUCUUUUUCCCGUAUCUAUUUAACCGAUGGAAUUUUUACAUUUUCGAACAUGAAAUUUAGCAUGUUCAUCCACGCGUAGAUGUGCAUCCACGCGUGAUUUAAUCGAAACGAUGAUCCAUUUUGAUCGAUCCGUCCGUAUCUCUUAAAUAGCCGCGUUCCAUCUGCAGCUAACAUUACCAAACGCGUAACAUCCGGUACAACUGAAAUAUAGAACGUUAAUGCGGUUAUUAGAUAAGCAUGUACGAAUUCAAGUAUCGAUUUAAUCAUUAUUCGCCCGGUAUUUGGAGGGAAAGAAAAAAUUUAAGCGUGAUAUAAAGAAGAAAAAUUUUUUUUUUUCUAGAUGGAGUAAACAAUACAUUGAAAUUCUGAACGUUUCAUAGCGACAAAAUCGAGCAUUCUACGUAUAAAAUUGGUGACUCUUUUUCCAGAAAUCGGUGAGAAACGCAUGCGAGAGAAUCUACGAUUUCACGGAGAUUCUAUUUCGCAAGGUAGCAGCGAUCCGUAUCACCAAACAAGUUCUUUCAAUUCCGACGAUCCGCUCUUGUCUCCUCUCCCUCUCUCUCUCUCAUCGUCGUCUACUAUGCUUUCUUCGAUUUAUCCUCGAAUAAGGCGUUUGUCCUCUGACUUUGCAUUCAUUUCACAAAUCACAAAUUUGGAAAUCUUUCAAGGUAUAUAUAUAUAUAUACACUCGCAGAUAGUUUUGCCAAACUCUUCUUUUCCACUCUCGAAUCUCGACUCUACAGUUGAACAAUUUUAAAAGAAUCUUUAUUUCUUUAUCGCUCGAUCACUCGAAUUAUCGUGGAUAAAUAGAAAAACAUUAACCAAAAAAUGCUCUUGCACUAACUGAUGCGAGUUAUCCGGACAUUGCUUUCGUUGAUCUCCACUCCAGCCAACCGAGAUGGAAGCUAUAUCCAGAAGGAAAUCGAGCUAAGGAUUCGAGUGUGUAUAUAUAUAUAUAUAUAUAUAUAUAUAUAUAUGUAUAUAUAAGCUCGAAGGAGUGGAUUAGAAGAGGUUUGGAAGCUUUGGCGGAUCGGUCGGACUCGUGUUUAAGUAGCCCAGGUUGCGGGAUAGUCCGACUUCUUGGUCGAGAUUAGCUUAGUUACAGAUAACUAAGUCGAGAUUUGGAGCGAGGCGAGGAUACAGAUGGGAAGAAAGUAAGCGGAGAGAUGAAGAAAACGGCGGGGAUACAAAGGAGAAGGCAGAUGGGGCGAUAGAAAGGAGAGGAGGUUUACUACCUCUAACACGGAGAAUUAAACGGAGAUGUACGAAUAAGCGAAACACGCAAAUCGUCGGUGAGAAGUUUGAUCGUAUCUUCGAGGCCUCGACAUCACCGUCCGGAUAUUUCUGAAGCGGAUAGAAGGAUAUUGCGAUUCUCGUGGGGUGGAAACAGCCGCUGGCUGAGCAAUCCUUUGCGCGGACCAAUGUCUCGCGAUAUUACCCCCUCCAUGAGAGAAAGAGAGAGAGAGAGAGAAGAGAUCUCUAUUCUCCCUUCCAAAGUUAAUUGUCUUGCCAAUGUAGGAUUAGCUGUCCGAAGAGCACGACUUACCGGCCCACCGACCGUUCUCUUCCAAUCCUCUCUUUUUCGUUAUCUUCCUUACCAAUCGUCAUUUUCGACUGUCUCUUUCUCUCUCGCUCCCUCUUUGUUUAUUCUUUCUCGCGAUCGUUUACAGAGUUCACCUUGAAGCAUCAUUUUUUGCCAUGUCUCUCUGUUUCUGUUUGUUUUCUUUCCGUUUUAUUUAUUCUUUCUCGCUUACAGAGUUCGUUAUUUUUCGACGUCUCUCCCUUAUUCUUCGUUUAUUCCUUUUUCUCUGUUUCAUUUACCUCGUCGAUGCUUUUCUCGCGAUCGUUCAUUCUCUUGACUAAUGUUAAAAUUGUUAUUUUGUUUUAUCUUUUAUCUUUGUUAUUUUAUUUAAUUUCGUUGAUGCUUUUCUUGUUUUUAUUUUUUCCACAGUCAUUUUUCACCUUUCGAUAACUUUGUUUCCUUUUUUUUUUAUUUCCUUUUCUCUAUUUUAUUUAUUUUCUCGUGAUCGCUUCGAAUCGUCAUAUUCGUCUUUCUCUCUUCCUUCCUUUUUUCGUGUUAUUUUCUUACCUUGUGGUUCUCUUUCCCUCUCCUACCUACGCACAAUUUCGAUUUCGCUCUUUGUGGACCAAGUAGAUUCGGUUACGAUACCACGACGACCACCACGUCGGGAUCACAGUUUCGCUACUAUGUUGCCUGUGAUGAAUGGUAUACCGAGCUCCUUGAGCAGACUCUACACGUACCGACUACGAACAAUGGGACACAACUAUAUCAAUGACAAUCGGGUUACAAAUUUCACCGAAUAUCGUAAACUGGUAAAUUUCUAAUUAGAGGGUAAUUUUGGCCGAUCGUUUAUAUACGUACACGUUCUAAUAAGGAAUUAGAAUUAAUUUCACUAUUUCCCUCCCUUCCUUAUUUAUUGGAUACGUAUAUUCUUGCGAACGAGUCGGAAAAGUCGUGCGAACCAACAACUUUCGACAACUUUUUCGAUCGAAAGUUGGAAAGGAACGAAACAUCCGCGUCUCAAAUAACUAUCCUUUGGAAGAGCCCGAGAACAAGAAGGAAAGACGAUUGAGGAAUGUUGAAUAUCGAAACGAAACGGUGCAAUUCGAUAAAUCCUCUUACCAUCCGAGCGCAUAACUUUCUCUCUUUAAAUGUUAAUAAAUGCGAUUCGAAGCUCGUAAAACGAAUAAUCAAAAUUAUCUAGUCGAAUGGUAUUUCGCAUUUACAUUACGAGUAAAAUUUCCGAAUUCGAAUCGAUUUGGAAAAUAAUACGUUCGAUCUUGAAAUUUCUGGCUUUAUGAGCCACAUCAACGCACUCCAGAUUAAUCUUUCCGCGGUUGGGAGAGAGGGGCAAUUAAUCACAUCGAAACAAGCUGCGUCUAAUCAAUCGGAAAUAACCGAUCGACUGGAGAGAAUCAUAAAAACUAUGUAUUGGUCAUCUCGGGGAACGAUAUCGGGGGAGGAGGGGGGGAAUAAGGAUCGGGUUAUCCCUGUUGCAAUCUCGAGCACGUUGUUUCGCGAACCGAUUCUAGUUAAAGCCAGAUUGAAGGGAAGGGGGGGAAGGGUAAGAGAGGGAGUAUAGUAGGCCGUGUAGUGACGUUGAAAGAUGGUGGUGCUCCUUCUCUCUGCCCGCUACUUCUACCGUGAUAUAGCACCAUCCAAAUGCGCUGAUAGAUCCAAUUUACACAACGCCUUUAACACACCGCGAAUUUUCUCGCCAAGGGUUUCGAAUAUUUAAUUUUCAACUUUUCGAUCAAAAUUCUGAACGUUUUCUUCCGUCUGAAAAAUUGAACGAGAACUUAAAAAAAAGAAUCAUUUUUUCCAAAAUUCAUUUAUUAACCAUCUUUUUACCGCAGUACUUCGCACGUUUAUAGCGAUAAACGAAUUCGAAGUGAAUGGCGCAUGCGCGCUGCAAUCGACUACCGCUUAUAAGAUCCUAGCGAUUAAUCCGCGUGGAGCAAUUAGCAGCGUAGAGGAUCGGGCCAUAGGCCUCGAUUUCAGUCUCUGGAGAGCUGGAACCGAACACCUCGUCGAGAUGGACGUGGCUGCGGCUCUCGUGUGAGCCCAGCUGACCCUCCACGAUUAAUGGUAAACUUAAUUAUUGCUUCUUCUCCUCUCGCGCCAGCCUCGACAACGUUGUUGCGCUUUCCUUUCGCGUUGCGCGUAUGGACAAAUACCGAUCGAGGGAGUAUUAUCGAUCGAUAAAUUGAAAUAUAAUUUCAAUCGUUUCGAAUUUCAGCUCUUCCCUUUCGUAUCCUUUCCAAAUAAUAAUAUUACGACGAAAAUUAUAUUUGUAUCCAAAUUUUCUAUACGAAGUAAUUAUAUAUAUAUAUAAAAAAAGGAAAGCGAUGAGAUGUAAACUGAUAUUGUAAGAUUCUUAUUCAAUUCUGUUUAAUUCCUUCUAAUUUCCUUAUUUCUCCUCGUAUUCGAAGAAGGAAGAGAAAAGUGACGAAAAACUGGGAAUGGAAGUGGCGGUGGACAGCUGGUCGGAUGAGAGAAGAGAGCGCGUGGGAUGUACUUGACGUAUCGGUCGAGUGAUCGGAUAUCGAUUAGUCCGUGCGCACGGCUAGUCCACAACACCCUCCACGAGUCGUAACUUGCACUCGAAUGCUAUUCCACUAAUUACCAAGGCGACAGGGAGCACUGCGGUUGGCACUUCUGACGGUGGAUCUUGACGGUUGUACGCAUAUGGGCCGGGGUGAACCGAGGCAGAGAUUAUCGGCUAGGCGUAUAUGCGGUUAAUCACUGACCGAUCGUUAAGGUACAUUAUCCUCCUUAUAUUACGGCAUUAUCGUUACAAUCUUCCCGAAUUUCCGCCUAAUUUUAUACUCGGCUUCAACCGCCGAUUUAUAUAUAUAUAUUAUAUAUAUAUAUAUAUGUAUACGUAAUAACCUCAAUCGUUUGUCCUUUAUAUAGUUGGCGGAUCGUUAUUAUGGAUUAUGUGAAUUAUUAUCACUUUGUAACUAGGUCUUGCGCUAGCUUAAGAGGUUAUGCCACCUUGAUAGCGUCCAAACUCCGGGCUACCUUAAUAGAAUUAUUAAUCCGCUUGGAAUUAAUAUUUUAUCCAUCUAUUGAUGAGAUAUGGAAUAUCGAAUAAUUUCAAAAAAAAAAAAAUCAUCAAUUUCGCGUAUUCGCUUUAGAUAAAAAUGAUUUUACGAUUUUAAAAUUAUUAUCUUCGUUUAUUUUUGAAUUUAUCAUCAAAGCAUGUAAACGUUUGACACAAUUUGCACAAUUUUUUACAAACCGUUUCAUCUCGCAAAUGCAAGGUAUUUAACAGGAUUUCCUCUUCUUUUCAUUUUAUUCGUUUAUUUAUUUAUUUAUUUUUUUUUUUUUUUUUUUGCUGCGAAAAAGUCAAAUGUAAUAAACGUGGUAAUAAUUUGACUCGAACUUAUCAAAGAUAUUAGGUUAAAACGUUCUCUAUUCGUUGGCGACUUAAUGAAUCAGUUUCAUAACGUUUGGGCUACUUUAACUUUCCGCUUCCACCCUUAAUUGAGCUUUGUAAGUUUAUUAGCCCCUUAAUUCUAGUUUCGCUAUUCCUGUGUAAGAUUGUAAUUAACCUACCGUGUUUUAGUUUCUUCUUGUUUUAGGAUAUUGGCCGGUCCUAAUUAACUUUGAGAAACUUUCUUUCUUUCUUUCUUUUUCGACCCUACUAGUCCCUUUAUUUUUCGAAAAUUCUUCACAAUUGCGAAACUUUUCGAAUUAAUCGAAGAAUCAAAUAUAUAUCACUACGCCACUUCUUUCUGGUUGAAAUUCUUCCUGGUUUACUUACAAGCAUUUUUUAAAACCGUGCAUUUUCAAAUUGAAAUUCUUCUGCACGAAAUGGAGCGCUAUUAAAUUAUUAUUAAAGAAGGAAUGUUAAGUCGAUAAAGGUUACUACUAUCGUUAAUUAAAAUGUCUAGCUUUGUUUCGAGAACGGUUAAACUUAUCGAGAGAAUUCAACGAAACUCGGAUCUUGUUCAGCACUGCCACUGCUGAGUACUAUAUCACUGUUGGCUCAUCGGUGAACAAUCGAAUUUGGCUUCCAGAAUGGCUCGACACGUGAUACGCGUUAAAUUCACUGCGUUGAUACACGACUUCCGUGCUACGGUCAACGCAAGAUUUUCGCCUUGUAACACGAUGCAAGAAUUAUGAGAAUUACAACGAUACUUCAUCCAAACGUUUUCUCUGUUUUUAAAGAAUACUCGUUCGAAUUUGUUUUCUAAUUCGUGAUAUUUUAAUUUCGAAGGAAGAAAACAUCGGGGAUAUUUCGAUUAAAUAACAAUAUAUUUACAACAAUAACGAUAAUUGAGUUUGAAAUAACGAUUUCUUAGAGAUACUUUUAUAGAAAUAAGAGGAUAAACGAAAAAGGGAGGAUGAAGAUAAAGAAAUAAAGAACGAGAAAUUCUUGAAACUAUCGCGCCUACUAAUAUUGUGUGGUAGUGGAUGGUGGAUUGUUGAAUGCAUGUUCAUUGGUGGAAAGAAGUCACGCGAAAGAAAUACGGGAUCGGAUUGGUUAAUUUGGAAGGAAACGCCUAUUUCACACGUAUUUUUCUUUCUACCAUGGUAUUUGUCACACAUACCGAUUCAAAUGAUGAUCUAUAUCUAAAUGUAUCCAAUGCAUCAACGUAGGCAUAGAAUCCUACGUUAGAGAAUUUUAACUUAUCGAUAUAGCAUAAUUUUUUUAUUUCUCAUUAAUAUGCUUAGAAUAAUUAUAAUUUGUAACGAUAAUUUAAUUUUUUUUUUAUGAAUGUAAUUUCGUAUUAAGAUAAGUAGUUAAGAUGAUAAUUGUAUAUAUACGAAUAAAUUAGAUAUAUUAAUAUUGUACCA